CACGUAGGGGGCGAGCGUUGUCCGGAUUCAUUGGGCGUAAAGGGCGCGCAGGCGGCCCGGAAAGUCGGAUGUGAAAACUCGAGGCUCAACCUCGAGCAUGCACCCGAUACUGCCGGGCUUGAGGCAGGUAGGGGAGAUCGGAAUUCCUGGUGUAGCGGUGAAAUGCGCAGAUAUCAGGAGGAACACCGGUGGCGAAGGCGGAUCUCUGGGCCUGUCCUGACGCUGAGGCGCGAAAGCUAGGGGAGCGAACAGG
rnacentral:rRNA from 1 species